UACGGAGGGUGCAAGCGUUGUUCUGAUUUAUUGGGCGUAAAGCGCGUGUAGGCGGUUUCUUAAGUCUGAUGUGAAAGCCCUGGGCUCAACCCAGGAAGUGCAUUGGAUACUGGGAGACUUGAAUACGGGAGAGGGUAGUGGAAUUCCUAGUGUAGGAGUGAAAUCCGUAGAUAUUAGGAGGAACACCGGUGGCGAAGGCGGCUACCUGGACCGAUAUUGACGCUGAGACGCGAAAGCGUGGGGAGCAAACAGG
rnacentral:rRNA from 1 species